UAAUACGAAGGGGGCUAGCGUUGUUCGGAAUUACUGGGCGUAAAGCGUGCGCAGGCGGCUGCUCAAGUCAGGGGUGAAAGCCCAGAGCUCAACUCUGGAAUUGCCUUUGAGACUGAGUGGCUUGAGUACGGGAGAGGUGAGUGGAAUUCCCAGUGUAGAGGUGAAAUUCGUAGAUAUUGGGAAGAACACCGGUGGCGAAGGCGGCUCACUGGCCCGUAACUGACGCUCAGGCACGACAGCGUGGGGAUCAAACAGGAUUAGAUACCCUGGUAGUCCACGCCGUAAACUAUGAACGCUAGCCGUUGGGUAGCUUGCUAUUCAGUGGCGCAGCUAACGCAUUAAGCGUUCCGCCUGGGGAGUACGGCCGCAAGGUUG
rnacentral:rRNA from 1 species